CCACUAUCAGGUGUACCUGCUGGAGGGCCUGGCUCGGUGGAACGAGAACCGCGGCAGGGCGGCAGUCGAGGGAGGACCGCCAGCGGCGCUGCGGUGCUACAGCGUCCGGCUGCAGCACAGCUUUAACGAGCUGGCCUCUGAGGUCAACGGGGUCCAGCCGGUCGACGACUUCACCCAGCCCAGAGAGUACACAGGUACAUGGAGAUUAGCGACAGAGAGUGUUUGCUGCGGCUGUUCUUGUGGCAUCUGCUAGUGUGUGUGUGUGUGUGUGUGUGUGUGUGUGUGUGUGUGUGUGUGUGUGUGUGUGUGUGUCUCUCUCUCUGCAGGGGAACUCUUGGGGGUGGAGUACCUGUACUCCCAGUCGGGCGCUGUGCUGCAGCUGGAUCCCGACCCUCUGGAUGGGGCAGAGGAGGAGGAAGAGGCCGCCGCCGAUGACGGCUACGAGGAGGAGGAGGAGCAGCCGGAGGAGGAGCCAGAGGAGAUCCGUCUCCUGGCACACCACAGCGCCCUCCUCCAGCAGCCCCGCGGUGUGCUCAAGGGAGAUGCCACCUUGGGAUCGCCCCUUUCCGAGGAGGAGGAGGAGGAGGAGGAGGAAGACGUCGUCGGGCCGGACGGUCAGCCCGGGUACCUCCACGCGGUGGCCCUGGCCCACGGCCUCGUGGAGCUGCGUCACCACGCCUUCGUCACCGCCCGUCAGACCAGAGGCAUCAUCGCUCUCUGGGAGAGGCUGACGGAGCGGGACAAGGCGCCGGUGACCUUCACCCCCCGCCACCAGGACCGGCUGGCUAAAGGUCGGUUCAAGACCAGCAACCGCCACGCCCACAUCCCGGGAGUGGACAGUGUGAAGCGUGUCGUCGUGGGUAAGGGUGCGGGAGCGGCACAGUACCCAAGCCUCAGCAGGGUCGUCGAGGCCAUCAUGUUGGAGCUGUGCCGCGUCCACAGCAGCGACGCCAAGACCAUCGCCGGGGCACGCCUCAACCGCUGGGGUGCCGUCAUGAGGGACUACAAGUUGAUCCAGGACAACGUGGUCAACUGUCCUGCCCUCAUGGCGAGCACCCGCAUCCAGCUGUACGACGUGAACCAGCGGACCCUGUCCAUGUGGUAAGUCCAUAUACUUUGGCUCGCAGAACUGAUGUGUGUGUGUGUGUGUGUGUGUGUGUGUGUGUGUGUGUGUGUCGUCGUGAUUGAUAUCUUUGUCGUCAUAAUUAACGCAUUGUUUCUAUUUCUUGAAAGGCAAAACACCAGGGAAAAAAACAAGAUGAGGGACACCCUCUCCCUCGCAGUCCCGGGGCCCAGCGCUCCCCAGACUGCAGCGGAGCCCCUGUCGGCCCCACGGACUCUGCUGCAGCAGCCCCAGCAGCCAGACCAGCCCCUCCAGCACCACCUGCCCGCGGAUGCCUCUGGUCUGGCGGCAACAAUCAGAGGGCCGCUGGCCCCGGAGCUCUACGACCUCGUGGUGAAGCAGCAGAGUGCCGCCGCCGCCACCCCCCCGGACCUCAGCCCGCUCUCAGCCGCGGCCACCGCUCCAGCCAUUGCCGCUCCG
rnacentral:lncRNA from 1 species